CUCCUGUGACUGCGGGAGCCUUUGCCUUGCCCGCCAAGCUGUCUUGGGCUCUUGGUUCCUCAGUCUCUGGAAAACUGAAAGGCGCCUGGGGUGGGCUCCAAGGCUCCUGGCUGGCCGGGCGAGCUCAGGGCUUGGAACCCGAGCCUGGUGAGGGUGGCCCCGAAACGCUUUGCCCCCACCCAGCCCCCACCCGCUGGCCGGCCUCGCUCUAUCCCGGGGGAGUUUCCUGUCCCCUCACCACACUUUCCAUGACGCAAGAGGAAGUCAGCUGCCCAGCCUGGGUUUUCCACGCAGCCUGGGCAGAGGAGGGGUGGAGUGAGCCCCUGGGCGGGAGUCAGAACUCAGGGCCUUCCAGGGACAGACAGAUACUGCAGCCGCCCUGGGCCACACCAGGGCAAAGGGACCCCAGGGAUCUGGGCAGGGAAGAGCUGAGGGUCGGAGGCCGUGAGUGAGGAGAGGAAGCUCACUGAGCAGUCCGUCCCCCCUGAGUGGAUGAGGAGUGAGUGAAUCUGCGGUUCCCAAAGGCACAGGACGGCCUGGUGGUCGAGCGGGCAGGAGGGGCCUCUUCCAGUCUGUUAGUGACGGAGCCCUUGAACCCCUGUGCUUCACAGCCCAGCAGUGGCUUCCAGCCCACGGCCCAGAAAGGGCCCAGCUCUGUCCCUCCAGCUGGACCCUGAGCUUCGAGACGUUUCCAUGGCAAUGGAUGGAGGCCUUGGAAGCCGGUGCCCCAGCCAGAGGCAGAUGGGCUCAGGCUGGGCAGGUGCAGCCUAGGGCCUCUCAGCCCCUCGGCUGUGGCUCAGCUUUCUGUGCUCGCCGUGCUGGACGCAGGUGCACAGCGGUGUGGGACAGGCGCGAACCCACCCACUUUCCAGCUCGGCAGCCACGCGGCCCAGCUCCAAAGGCUGACGGCAGAGGCCACGCACGGGCUGAAGCUCGCGCUGUGCUCGGAGCUCUCGGUGCCUGGGGAGACAGCAGGAGGGGAAGCCAACCCAGCUCACGCUGGACCCCCAGCCGGCCGGGACAAGGGGAGCGACUCGGGGUGACUGGGGUGACCUGCACCCCGAAAUCUCACCGCCGUAAGAUGGAGUUGGGAGUGGAACCGUGCACGCAGCCUGUGCACCCGCAGAAGGGGUUUCGGGAGUUCCCCAAAGACAACAGCAGGUUGAUGGCAGCGGGGAGCGGCACAGAGAUUCUGGGCUUUGUCUUCAUCCAUGCACCUCUGCAUUGUGUGAUGUGUUAAGGAAGGGACAUUGUGAUCCAAGGCCUUGGUCUCACACAGCCUGAAAGAGGGCUGGGCUGGGCCUGGAGGCGGGAGCCCUUGUGCAUGCGCAAGGCCAGGGCUCAGGCCCUGCUCCACCCCCAAGCCAUGAAAGGGGUCGGCGGAAGAUCCUUUGUAUUUUUGUAUAAUGAUGUAUAACAUGUAUUUUUAUAAUGUGAUUUUUUUCUUAAUAAUAAAAACAAUAAAUGUUUAUUGAGAAAAAUCAAUAAAAAUAGCCGAGUAUAAAGAAAAAAAGUC
rnacentral:lncRNA from 1 species